GGUGCUUGAGCGCCGGCGGAUGGGGGUCUGGGUGGCCCCUGGUUUAGGGAACGACUUCUGGCACUCUGUGUCAAUGGAGAAUCCAGCUCAGGGUAGGAUCACCGUCCCCAGGGUCCUCACUUGUCCUCAGGCUGACCAGUUGAGCUUGACUAUGAACCAGCCCCUUCCUCUGAAUUCCAGAUCUGACAGGUGGGGUGGGUGGGAUGAUGAGAACCGGGGAGAGGGACUGGAAAGGAGAAGUGGGUUGCCUGGAUGUGGACCUGUGUCUGGAAGGAUGGGGGAGUGGGAUGCUCCUGAGGACAGGAGCCAUGGGCAGGCCUCUUGGCAAGAGGGGCCCAGAAGCAAGGCAUCUGCAGCCCAAGACUGUCACCUCCUGGCUCCUCCCACAGGGCAGUGGCCAUAGGUAGGACCCUUCACUUGAGAAGGAAGUGGGUGCUGUUUGAAAUUCUAUCAGCUGAAGCUGUGCAGGUGUUAAGGUGGCAGAAGGGCUGUGCAAAGUGACAGCUCAGGAGCAAGACAGCAAGUGGGGUGCCAAGAGAAGCUGGCUGGCUCUGUGCAGCCCGGUGGUGCCCAGUACCUGGCAGCAGAGAAACUGCCUGGCCCUCUCUAGGGGACUGUGCAUCACCUGUGGUCAGCUGUUCAUCCCAUGAUUACCUGACACAGUCAUUUCUUCCUUUUAGUUUCAUCUCAGUCUUUUGGGACCAGGCUCUGGGUCUGUCCACACACGUCUUCUAGGUCCACCAUACUGUUUUACCUACUGUCACACAGUAAUGUCAACCAAGGACUCCCCAGAACCAGGAUCGGCACACCUAGUCUCUGGUGGUCAAUCAGGAAGCAGCCAGUAGCUGCCCUCCUCCUGUAGGGACGAAUUGCAGGGAUGUGUCUACUUAGGGUGACAGUCGCUAGAGAAAAGGCCUCCCCUCUUCUCUCUGCCCCUCUAGCCAUCCCUGGGGAUCAGCCUCCUGUGCUCAGCUGCCCUUCAGUGGAGAUCCUUCCAAUAAUGGCUUUUCCCCUGGGAGGCAAUGAAUUUGUCCCAAAAUGUGCUGCAUCUAAAAGCCUAAAAACAAACAUUGGAGAAUCUGUUAAUAAAAAUCAUCCUGCAAAUGUGGUUUUUC